rnacentral:rRNA from 1 species
AGCAGCAGCCACGGUAAUACGUAGGUGGCAAGCGUUGUCCGGAAUUAUUGGGCGUAAAGCGCGCGCAGGCGGAUCAGUUAGUCUGUCUUAAAAGUUCGGGGCUUAACCCCGUGAGGGGAUGGAAACUACAUGUCUUGGGUACAGGAGAGGAAAGCGGAAUUCCCAGUGUAGCGGUGAAAUGCGUAGAUAUUGGGAGGAACACCAGUGGCGAAGGCGGCUUUCUGGACUGCAACUGACGCUGAGGCUCGGAAGCCAGGGGAGCGAACGGGAUUAGAUACCCCCGUAGUCCCUGUCUCUUAUACC